CCUGGUGAAACGUUGCACGUCGUGCUGCCGUUUUCACGGUAAAGCGAUGAAACGUCCGUCCGGUUCGGCCCGGUAACGCAGCCGUGUCCGCGCGCAUCAUGUCCAGCAUCCAGCUGCUCAGGGUGCUCGUUAACGAGCGGCUGUCUGCGGCCGCAGAGGAGAUCUUCGAGGCGGUUAAAAAAACCAUCGCUGGCUACGAGGAGGAGAUCCUGCUCUCCAAACGGGAGAUCCGCCGGCAGCGCAGAAUGCUGCGGACAGUUUUAAAACCCGAGCUAAAGAUAAACAGACAGCCAGACCAGCCACAGCUGGCUCUCUCUGUCUGGGACGAGGACUUCCCCUCCGAUCAGCAGCAGCAGGAGGUGCAGUGUGAGCCGGACUGGAGCUCCGGUCUGGAACAGGACCACCCGGAUCCUCCGCAGACCGAGAAGAGCCAGGAGGAGCUCCCCAGCAGCCAGGAGGAGGAGGAGGAGCAGCUCCAGGAGCUGGAGGAGGACAACACCAUCAGAUUCAUCUUCACGCCUCCGUACGUGAAGAACGAGCUCGACCAGCCUCAGCUGACCUGUCAGAGUACGAAAGGAGAAGGAGGGGAUCCUCUGCCGAGCACCUCAGCCGAGCAGGACCAGACGAAGGUGGAGGGCGAUGACGGGGCUUCGUCCAGUUGUUCUCCAACCGAACACGACGACAGUGACGAGGAGUGGAGGAGCAACGUGGGCUCUCAGAGCGACGACAGCGACAGCGAGACUAAAUGGAAGAAGAAGAAGGGGCCUCGCCUGCCGACGGCCCCAAAACUGCAUCCGACCAAAAAGACUAAAUCCCGGAUCUGCUGUAAAGUCUGCGGGAAAGCCUUCCACGCCAACGUGUCUCUGGUGAAUCACAUGGAAGUUCACCCCAAGGACGUGUGUGGCGUCUGCGGGGAGCGUUUCGAGACCGAGGAGAGUUUUAGAGUUCACCUGAAAACACACGUGAAAGCUGAGAUCUGCAGCGUUUGUGGGAAAUGUUUCGGGGCGUCCAGCUCUUUGGAGACGCACAUGAGGAUCCACACGGGAGAGAAGCCGUUUAACUGCAGCGAGUGCGGGAAGUCCUUCAACUGUCGCCACAACAUGAUGCGACACAUCAGGAUACACACCGGGGAAAAGCCGUACCCCUGCUCCGUCUGCGGCAAAUGCUUCAACGACUACUCCACGCUGAAACGCCACCUGCAGCUUCACGUGCACAAGAAGAGCCUCGAGCCAAACGACGCACCUGCGAACGGAAACGGACGCGACGACGACGGCGAGAAGAAGAUCAAGACUUCGUCAUCGAAGAAGCAGCAGGCUCGGACCAUGUGUGAAGUGUGCGGGAAGAUGUUUCACUCCAUGGUUUCCCUGGUGAAUCACGCCAAAAGUCACGCCACGGACCUCUGCGGCGUCUGUGGGACGCAUUUCGAUUCAGAGGAAAACUUAAAACUUCACCUGAAAACUCACAAAAACGGGAAGGUGUGCGAAGUGUGCGGCAAGUGUUUCGACAGUCAGGGGAACCUGGAGAUGCACAUGAGGAUCCACACGGGGGAGAAGCCGUUUCUCUGCAGCGAGUGCGGGAAGUCCUUCAACUGCAGACACAACAUGAUGCGACACAUCAGGACCCACACGGGCGAGAAGCCGUACCUGUGCAACGUCUGCGGCCGCUGUUUCAGCGACCACUCCACUCUGAAGCAGCACAGCAGCACGCACACCGGGGAGAAACCGCACCGCUGUGAGGUGUGCGGGAAAGGCUUCCACCGAAAGACCUACGUGAGGCUUCACAUGAAGAGUCACACAACCGAGAAAUGACGGCUCUGUAAAUAUGGCGGGAUGCAAAUAAAGCAGAAACAAAGAAGUUGAUCAGUUAAUGGAGUGAAUGUGGAAACGGGAUCAGUGAGCGUGAGCGGCCUUCUCUUUUCUAACGCUCUGUACCAGAGUCACCAGGUUCAUCUGCUGCUGCAUCUUCAGCCUCCUGUUCGUCUGCUGCGAUGACCUGAAGGUUACUGACUCCUCAGGCUCAGGAAACAAAGCCGGAGCGGGACACUGUGAAACCACGUCAGAGACGAGCAGGGAUCAGUGGUUCGCUUCAUGCUCCCGCUCAGAGCGACUGUUGAUGAGUCACAGCUGAUGAGCAGCCUCGGGCUGCUUCAUAUUAUAUGAGUCUCAGGGUUCAACAUGUAACUGAGUCAUCGUUGAACACAGAUCAUGGCUGCGUGUGAUGCCCGGUUCUUUCCAGAGGAAACUCCACACAGAUCUCCGUAUACGACGCGUCCUGUGAUCGUGACCAAAAAAGCUGGGACUCAGAGGAGUUUCUCCAGAUGUUCGCACAGAAAGAGACAAGUGACUCUGACAAGUGAUGCUGUUCAAUCAUCCUGUGGCCCUUACACUAACACAGAUGAUGACUCAGACUCUGACUGGCUACAACAGCAACAACAACAACAAACACCAGUAAACAAAUAAAAACAAGAGCUCAGGGUUAUUGUUCUUCUCAGGAGUAGUUUGUGUUGGAUUUGGUCCAAACACUGUAAUUAGCCACUAAUUAAAUCAAUCACUCAACCACCACUGAAACAGAUCCUCUCACCACAGCGACCCAAUCAUAAAGCUGAGCACAGAGCUGGUGAUGGAUCCAUUCAGAAAAAACAUCGUGAUAAGGAUCAGUGGAACGUGCUGGCUGCAGCAGUUACACCUUCACAUGUCUGAUGAGUGUCUGAAGUGAAACUGCUGGAUCAUGUUGAGGUGGAUUGUUGUUGAGCAGGUACAGAAGCUCUGCAGUGACACGGGUGAUGUUCUCUCUCCUCCUCCUCCUCCUCCUGCUCCUUUUCUCUGUGACAUGAAUGUGAUGUCCCAGUCAACACAGGUCUUUCAGAGACAUUGAUUUCCUUCUGGUUUUGAUAGCAGCAGGCGAUUUGACACUACUGCACAGGCUCAGGGGUCUGAGGUGUUCAGGAGGGGCCACAGCCAGAGUCUCUGCUGUGAUGGCGAACAUU